rnacentral:tRNA from 1 species
GGGAGAAUAAUAGAAUGCAUGCUUAGCAUGCAUGAAGUCCUGGGUUAAAUUCCCAGUACCUCCA